AACGAACGCUGGCGGCAGGCUUAACACAUGCAAGUCGAACGAGAUCUUCGGAUCUAGUGGCAGACGGGUGAGGAACACGUGGGAACAUCCCUUUCAGUUCGGAAUAACGUUGGGAAACUAACGCUAAUACCGGAUACGUCCUUCGGGAGAAAGAUUUAUCGCUGAAAGAUUGGCCCGCGUCUGAUUAGCUAGUUGGUGAGGUAAUGGCUCACCAAGGCUACGAUCAGUAGCUGAUCUGAGAGGAUGAUCAGCCACAUUGGGACUGAGACACGGCCCAAACUCCUACGGGAGGCAGCAGUGGGGAAUAUUGGACAAUGGGCGCAAGCCUGAUCCAGCCAUGCCGCGUGAGUGAUGACGGCCUUCGGGUUGUAAAGCUCUUUUGUCCGGGAAGAUAAUGACUGUACCGGAAGAAUAAGCCCCGGCAAACUUCGUGCCAGCAGCCGCCGCCG
rnacentral:rRNA from 1 species